rnacentral:rRNA from 1 species
UACGGAGGGUGCAAGCGUUGUCCGGAUUUAUUGGGUUUAAAGGGUGCGUAGGCGGUCCUGUAAGUCAGUGGUGAAAUACUGCAGCUUAACUGUAGCAUUGCCAUAGAUACUGCAGGACUUGAGUACAGAUGAGGUAGGCGGAAUUGAUGGUGUAGCGGUGAAAUGCAUAGAUACCAUCAAGAACACCGAUUGCGAAGGCAGCUUACUAAGCUGUAACUGACGCUGAGGCACGAAAAGUGUGGGGAUCGAACAGG